UAGGGAAUCUUCCGCAAUGGGCGAAAGCCUGACGGAGCAACGCCGCGUGAGUGAUGAAGGUCUUCGGAUCGUAAAACUCUGUUAUUAGGGAAGAACAAAUGUGUAAGUAACUAUGCACGUCUUGACGGUACCUAAUCAGAAAGCCACGGCUAACUACGUGCCAGCAGCCGCGGUAAUACGUAGGUGGCAAGCGUUAUCCGGAAUUAUUGGGCGUAAAGCGCGCGUAGGCGGUUUUUUAAGUCUGAUGUGAAAGCCCACGGCUCAACCGUGGAGGGUAAUUGGAAACUGGAAGACUUGAGUGCAGAAGAGGAAAGUGGAAUUCCAUGUGUAGCGGUGAAAUGCGCAGAGCUAUGGAGGAACACCAGUGGCGAAGGCGACUUUCUGGUCUGUAACUGACGCUAAUGUGCGAAAGCGUGGGGAUCAAACAGG
rnacentral:rRNA from 1 species